rnacentral:rRNA from 1 species
AACGAACGCUGGCGGCACGCCUAACACAUGCAAGUCGAACGAAGUAGCAAUACUUAGUGGCAGACGGGUGAGUAACAUGUGGGUAUCUACCCUUUGGCCUGGAAUAACACGAGGAAACUUGUGCUAAUACCGGAUAAGUCUUUACGGAGAAAGCUUUAUGCACCAUUGGAUGAGCCCGCACUUGAUUAGUUUGUUGGCAGGGUAAUGGCCUACCAAGACUAUGAUCAAUAGCUGAUUUGAGAGGAUGAUCAGCCACAUUGGGACUGAGACACGGCCCAAACUCCUACGGGAGGCAGCAGUGGGGAAUCUUGCACAAUGGAGGAAACUCUGAUGCAGCGAUGCCGCGUGAGUGAAGAAGGCCUUUGGGUUGUAGAGCUCUUUCGUCGGGGAAGAAAAUGACUGUACCCGAAUAAGAAGGUCCGGCUAACUUCGUGCCAGCAGCCGCGGUAAUACGAAGGGACCUAGCGUAGUUCGGAAUUACUGGGCUUAAAGAGUUCGUAGGUGGUUGAAAAAGUUGGUGGUGAAAUCCCAGAGCUUAACUCUGGAACUGCCAUCAAAACUUUUCAGCUAGAGUAUGAUAGAGGAAAGCAGAAUUUCUAGUGUAGAGGUGAAAUUCGUA